rnacentral:lncRNA from 1 species
GUGGUUAGAAUCAGCCUGGCCAAAGAGUCUGAAUUAGAAUCACCCACUGCAAAAACAAAUAGAAUAUCAGAAUGGGCGAUGAAUAUAAGCAAAGUGAAGUGCAACAAUUAAUUGGACAACAUGGUAGGAUCUUCCGUCAUUGAGAAAGGAACCGAAGAGGAGUCAACACGACUCCGUGGCUGUGUUGCAUGGAGGGGAGAUCGUGUUCGCCGCUCUCCGUCACCGCACCACCCCUCUCAAAUUCCUUGCUGCCAUCGAAGAUGAGGAGGAUGAGAGGAUUUAAGAGUUUGUCCUCAUUCUUAUAAGAUUAGGGAUUCAAAUCCCUUAGCCAUCGAAGGUGAGGAGGAAGAGAGGAUUUGGGGGUUUGUCCCUAUUCUUCGAAGGUUAGGGUUGCUAAUCCUUUGGCCACGUGAAAAAUGAGAAAGAGAGUAUGAGAUUUAGGAAAAAUUUUCUUUUUUCUCCCUUUACCAUUGGCCACCACCGUAGGAUGACGAGGCUAGAGCAAGUCAGGGGAUAAACCCCAUUCUUCUAAAAUCUGCACGUGAGAUUU